rnacentral:rRNA from 1 species
UGGUCAAGCUACAAAGAGCACAAGGGGAAUGCCUUGGCACCGAGAGCCGAAGAAGGACGUGACUAACUGCGAUAAGCUACGGGGAGCUGUAAGUGAGCGUUAUAUCCGUAGAUUUCCGAAUGGAGCAAUCCGAUUAGAGGAAAGUCUAAUCAUCAUAUACUGAAUACAUAGGUAUAUGAGGGGAACCGCCUGAACUGAAACAUCUAAGUAGGGCGAGGAAGAGAAAUCAACAGAGAUUCCGUAAGUAGUGGCGAGCGAACGCGGAAGAGGCCAAACCUAAUGUAGUAAUAUGUUAGGGGUUCGGACAGUAAAAUGAAUUGUCGAGAUUUAGCCGAAUGUCAUGGGAAGGGCAAUCAAAGAAGGUGAAAAUCCUGUAGGCGAAAAGUUAAGACAUCAGACUGUAUCCAGAGUACCGCCGGACACGUGAAACCCGGUGGGAAUACGGGGGGACCAUCCUCCAAGCCUAAAUACUACUCGGUGACCGAUAGAGAAGAAGUACUGUGAAGGAAAGGUGAAAAGCACCCCGGAAGGGGAGUGAAAGAGAACCUGAAACCUUGUGUUUACAAGCACCGAAAGUUCAUCAACGAACGAUCGGGUACCUUUUGUAGAAUGGUCCGGCGAGUGAAUGUAACUGGCAAGGUUAAGCACUUAAGGUGUGAAGCCGUAGCGAGAGCGAGUCUAAAUAGGGCGCAUGAAGUCAGUUGUAUUCGACCCGAAACCGGGUGACCUACCCAUGUCCAGGCUGAAGUGCAGGUAAAACUUCAUGGAGGGCCGAACCGACUCCCGUUGAAAUGGUAGCGGAUGAGGUGUGGGUAGCGGAGAAAUUCCAAUCGAACCCGGAGAUAGCUGGUUCUCUCCGAAAUAGCUUUAGGGCUAGCCUUGGAAUAGAUUACUGGAGGUAAAGCACUGAAUUGGCUAGGGGCCGAGAGGUUACUGAACCUUAUCAAACUAAGAAUGCCAG